CCUACGGGGGGCUGCAGUGGGGAAUAUUGGACAAUGGGCGAAAGCCUGAUCCAGCCAUGCCGCGUGUGUGAAGAAGGCCUUCGGGUUGUAAAGCACUUUCAGUGGGGAAGAAAGCCUUGGGGCUAAUACCCUCGAGGAAGGACAUCACCCACAGAAGAAGCACCGUCUAACUCCGUGCCAGCAGCCGCGGUAAUACGGAGGGUGCGAGCGUUAAUCGGAAUUACUGGGCGUAAAGCGCGCGUAGGCGGUCUGAUAAGCCGGUUGUGAAAGCCCCGGGCUCAACCUGGGAACGGCAUCCGGAACUGUCAGGCUAGAGUGCAGGAGAGGAAGGUAGAAUUCCCGGUGUAGCGGUGAAAUGCGUAGAGAUCGGGAGGAAUACCAGUGGCGAAGGCGGCCUUCUGGACUGACACUGACGCUGAGGUGCGAAAGCGUGGGUAGCAAACAGGAUUAGAUACCCUGGUAGUC
rnacentral:rRNA from 1 species